rnacentral:lncRNA from 1 species
GAAGGACAACUAUGUUAAUCAUAAUCAAGUCUAUCUUGUCAAACAUUUAGAGUAACUUACAUGAUUGAACAGAAACAGAUGAACUGUAUAUCAGCUCAUGAUGUUUAAUUACUAGCAAUAAUUGAUAUUUAACCAAAAGGUCGAGGAGAGGUAUUACCACUCUUUAAACUAGUACGUACUAGUAUAGAUUUUUCUUUCAAAUCAAUAGCAUGUACUAUGAAUUACUGAAGAUUUAAACCCUACCACAACAUUCACAACCUUUGCUACAAGACGACAGAUCACACACUCCCGAACAAAUUUAUUGUAUUCCCUUUUUUUCCUUCAUAUAACACGUUUUGAACCAAAAGAAAUUUAUAAGAAAAAGGGGCUAUUGGAUAAGAGAGCAAGAGUCAUCUGUACAUGGUAAGGUUAACCAGAAGAGGACCAUAAGCUCUUCAGUCAAAUUUGAUCUAUAGAUUAACGAAAAUGAACGACAACAGCCAGCAACCAAGAUAAGAUCAAAGAAAUAGCAGAUUUACAAUGGAGAUAGUAACUUUGCGAUAUUAAUUUCCAAGCUCAAGGAACCCAAAAGUAUUUUCGCCACUGUAUGUCAUGUAGAGAAAUCCAUCCUCAUCCUUAUUUUCCUCAUAUAUUGCAGACAACAGAGCAGCUGCAACGAAAGAAGAUGCAAUUAUACAACUAUCAGAAUAAGUAAAAGACCUACAUAAUCUCUCUUCUUACCCGUGGGAGGCAAAGUGUUGUUGACAAAGACAAAUAUGGCCUUCUCAGCACUGAGCUUGAUCCUCUUCCGAACCACAUAAACAAACUGGCCGACAGUCAAAUCAGCUGGAACAAGGUAUCUGCAUCACAAGGUAAGACANNNNNNNNNNNNNNNNNNNNNNNNNUUUUUUCCCUUCAUAUAACCACGUUUGAACCAAAAGAAAUUAUAAGAAAAAGGGGCUAUUGGAUAAGAGAGCAAGAGUCAUCUGUACAUGGUAAGGUUAACCAGAAGAGGACCAUAAGCUCUUCAGUCAAAUUUGAUCUAUAGAUUAACGAAAAUGAACGACAACAGCCAGCAACCAAGAUAAGAUCAAAGAAAUAGCAGAUUUACAAUGGAGAUAGUAACUUUGCGAUAUUAAUUUCCAAGCUCAAGGAACCCAAAAGUAUUUUCGCCACUGUAUGUCAUGUAGAGAAAUCCAUCCUCAUCCUUAUUUUCCUCAUAUAUUG